GCACUGCUGAACAGUCCCAUACUAGACGAAACGGCCGUCCAGUGC
rnacentral:hammerhead_ribozyme from 1 species